UACAGAGGGGGCAAGCGUUGUUCGGAAUUAUUGGGCGUAAAGGGCGCGUAGGCGGCCUUCUAAGUCGAACGUGAAAUCCCCGGGCUCAACCCGGGAACUGCGUCCGAUACUGGAAGGCUUGAAUCCGGGAGAGGGAUGCGGAAUUCCAGGUGUAGCGGUGAAAUGCGUAGAUAUCUGGAGGAAUACCGGUGGCGAAGGCGGCAUCCUGGACCGACAUUGACGCUGAACGGCGAAAGCUAGGGGAGCAAACGGG
rnacentral:rRNA from 1 species